rnacentral:rRNA from 1 species
AUGCAGUCGAGCGGUAAGGCCCUUCGGGGUACACGAGCGGCGAACGGGUGAGUAACACGUGAGCAACCUGCCCCUGACUCUGGGAUAAGCGGUGGAAACGCCGUCUAAUACCGGAUACGACCCGCCACCUCAUGGUGGAGGGUGGAAAGUUUUUCGGUCAGGGAUGGGCUCGCGGCCUAUCAGCUUGUUGGUGGGGUAACGGCCUACCAAGGCGAUUACGGGUAGCCGGCCUGAGAGGGCGACCGGCCACACUGGGACUGAGACACGGCCCAGACUCCUGCGGGAGGCAGCAGUGGGGAAUAUUGCGCAAUGGGCGAAAGCCUGACGCAGCGACGCCGCGUGGGGGAUGACGGCCUUCGGGUUGUAAACCUCUUUUACCACCAACGCAGGCUUCCAGUUCUCUGGGGGUUGACGGUAGGUGGGGAAUAAGGACCGGCUAACUACGUGCCAGCAGCCGCGGUAAUACGUAGGGUCCGAGCGUUGUCCGGAAUUAUUGGGCGUAAAGAGCUCGUAGGCGGAACGUGUCGCGUCUGCUGUGAAAGACCGGGGCUUAACUCCGGUUUCUGCAGUGGAUACGGGCAUGCUAGAGGUAGGUAGGGGAGACUGGAAUUCCUGGUGUAGCGGUGAAAUGCGCAGAUAUCAGGAGGAACACCGGUGGCGAAGGCGGGUCUCUGGGCCUUACCUGACGCUGAGGAGCGAAAGCAUGGGGAGCGAACAGGAUUAGAUACCCUGGUAGUCCAUGCCGUAAACGUUGGGCGCUAGGUGUGGGGACUUUCCACGGUUUCCGCGCCGUAGCUAACGCAUUAAGCGCCCCGCCUGGGGAGUACGGCCGCAAGGCUAAAACUCAAAGGAAUUGACGGGGGCCCGCACAAGCGGCGGAGCAUGUUGCUUAAUUCGACGCAACGCGAAGAACCUUACCAAGGUUUGACAUCACCCGUGGACUCGCAGAGAUGUGAGGUCAUUUAGUUGGCGGGUGACAGGUGGUGCAUGGCUGUCGUCAGCUCGUGUCGUGAGAUGUUGGGUUAAGUCCCGCAACGAGCGCAACCCUUGUUCCAUGUUGCCAGCACGUAAUGGUGGGGACUCAUGGGAGACUGCCGGGGUCAACUCGGAGGAAGGUGGGGAUGACGUCAAGUCAUCAUGCCCCUUAUGUCUUGGGCUGCAAACAUGCUACAAUGGCCGGUACAAUGGGCGUGCGAUACCGUAAGGUGGAGCGAAUCCCUAAAAGCCGGUCUCAGUUCGGAUUGGGGUCUGCAACUCGACCCCAUGAAGGUGGAGUCGCUAGUAAUCGCGGAUCAGCAACGCCGCGGUGAAUACGUUCCCGGGCCUUGUACACACCGCCCGUCACGUCAUGAAAGUCGGCAACACCCGAAACUUGCGGCCUAACCCCUGUGGGAGGGAG